GAGUAUGAGUGUUUGUGAGGGGAGGGAGGUUGAGGAAGAUGAAAAUCAAGGGUUGUGGGCUAGGUUUAGGGUCGUCCGGUUUGGUUUAGGUGGGAAGGGACCGGUCCAAUUAAAUUGAAACCGGGAUUAAAUCGAAAAUCACUUACCUGAACUGGUCGUGGAGCGACCUCGGGAUGUCGCUGUGGUGCGUCGCUCUCAAAUCGACAAACCCGAGCGACCUCGGGGUGUCGCUGUGCUGACCCCGCUCUGGAAUCGACAAACCCGAGCGACCUCGGGGUGUCGCUGUGCUGACCCUGCUCUGGAGCUGAAGCGACUUUGUGUCGUCGCUCUAGGAGGUCGCUCCGAGAGUAUUUUUCGAGCCCAAAACGCCGCAAAGCCGAGCGACUUGUUACACUCGCUGAGGUGACGUCGCUCCCAGCUGGAGCGAACUUUCACCCUCACUCCAGGUCCU
rnacentral:lncRNA from 1 species